rnacentral:tRNA from 1 species
GUCAUUCUAGCCGAAGAGUCCAAAGCACUGCGUUCAGGUCGCAGUACUCUUCGGAGGGCGAAGGUUCGAGUCCUGCGGAUGACA